UAGGAUAGAGGCCUACCAUGGUGGUAACGGGUAACGGGGUGUUAGGGCACGACACCGGAGAGGGAGCCUGAGAAACGGCUACCACAUCCAAGGAUGGCAGCAGGCGCGCAAAUUACCCAAUCCCGACACGGGGAGGUAGUGACAAUAAAUAACAAUACGGGGUUCUUUAGGAUCUCGUAAUUGGAAUGAGUACAAUUUAAAUCUCUUAACGAGGAACAAUUGGAGGGCAAGUCUGGUGCCAGCAGCCGCGGUAAUUCCAGCUCCAAUAGCGUAUAUUAAAGUUGUUGCAGUUAAAAAGCUCGUAGUUGAAUUUCGGGGUUAGUAGGUUGGUCAUGCCUCUGGUAUGUACUGGUCUCACUGAUUCCUCCUUCCUUAUGAACCGUAAUGCCAUUAAUUUGGUGUUGCGGGGAAUUUGGACUGUUACUUUGAAAAAAUUAGAGUGUUUAAAGCAAGCUAACGCUUGAAUACAAUAGCAUGGAAUAAUGAAAUAGGACGUUCGAUCUUAUUUUGUUGGUUUCUAGGAUUGACGUAAUGAUUAAUAGGGAUAGUUGGGGGCAUUAGUAUUCAAUUGUCAGAGGUGAAAUUCUUGGAUUUAUUGAAGACUAACUACUGCGAAAGCAUUUGCCAAGGAUGUUUUCAUUAAUCAAGAACGAAAGUUAGGGGAUCGAAGACGAUCAGAUACCGUCGUAGUCUUAACCAUAAACUAUGCCGACUAGGGAUCGGAUGA
rnacentral:rRNA from 1 species